rnacentral:misc_RNA from 1 species
ACAGAUGCUCUAAAUAGAAAAUAUGGAGAUACUCAUAAUUGUCUAGGAAACUCUAUCUUUGUGGACUCUAUUCGUGAUUCAAAAGUUGGUAUAAUAUUUAACCCAAAUUCAUUAAUAAAUGCACUUGGCAAUGUGGUGGACAGACACAAGAGCACAGAUGUUAUGUAGAAACUAAAAUUUGACGACAGAAAUGGAAUUCAGGAUAUAUGAAGGAUGUUUCUCCCAAUUGAG